rnacentral:rRNA from 1 species
UACGUAGGGUGCGAGCGUUGUCCGGAAUUAUUGGGCGUAAAGGGCUCGUAGGCGGUUUGUCGCGUCGGGAGUGAAAACUCAGGGCUUAACCCUGAGCCUGCUUCCGAUACGGGCAGACUAGAGGUAUGCAGGGGAGAACGGAAUUCCUGGUGUAGCGGUGAAAUGCGCAGAUAUCAGGAGGAACACCGGUGGCGAAGGCGGCUCUCUGGGCAUUACCUGACGCUGAGGAGCGAAAGUGUGGGGAGCGAACCGG